rnacentral:lncRNA from 1 species
GCUUUUUUUGUUCUCAACCAACCCCGUUCCUCCACGAGCUAGCAGCAGCCGCACCCGAGUGUCUCUUCCAUGUAUGCCCAUGGAUCUUCCCUGCGCUCGUGCCUCUUCCCUAACGCGAUCGGCAGAGGAACUCCGGUCUGAAGCUUUGCGCCCCUAGGUCCUCCGCGCUGCACACUGGGAGAGUCACUCCUGUGCGCGUCCAACUGCAAGGAGGGGAUCUCCUCCCACUGCUCCCUCUGGUGCCCGCGCCUCCGGGCAUCUCCAACAUGCCNNNNNNNNNNNNNNNNNNNCUAGGGAUGCUACCCUAGCCGCCGCCCACCACCACCUGGUCUCUUCCUCCUUGGGAUCUUCUCCCACACCAGCGCCUCCGUCGCCUUUGUUUUUUUUUGUUCUCAACCAACCCCGUUCCUCCACGAGCUAGCAGCAGCCGCACCCGAGUGUUUGUUCCAUGUAUGCCCAUGGAUCUUCCCUGCGCUUGUGCCUCUUCCCCAACGCGAUCGGCAGAGGAACUCCGGUCUGAAGCUUUGCGCCCCUAGGUCCUCCGCGCUGCACACUGGGAGAGUCGCUCCUGUGCGCGUCCAACCGCAAGGAGGGGAUCUCCUCCCACUUGCUCCCUCUGGUGCCCGCGCCUCUGGGCAUCUCCAACAUGCCCCGCCACCGUGAGGAGCUCCGGCC